GUCCCUGUAGAGCAGUGGAUAGCACGUUGUACUUCUAAUCCAAAGGUACCGGGUUCGAAUCCCGGUUGAGAUG
rnacentral:tRNA from 13 species